UACGUAGGUGACCAGCGUUGUCCGGAUUUACUGGGCGUAAAGCGUGCGCAGGCGGUAAGUUAAGUCUGAUGUGAAAGCCCCGGGCUCAACCUGGGAAUGGCAUUGGAAACUGGCUUGCUGGAGUGUGGCAGAGGGGGGUGGAAUUCCGCGUGUAGCAGUGAAAUGCGUAGAGAUGUGGAGGAAUACCGAUGGCGAAGGCAGCCCCCUGGGAUACCACUGACGCUCAUGCACGAAAGCGUGGGGAGCAAACAGG
rnacentral:rRNA from 1 species